AAGUCGUAACAAGGUUUCCGUAGGUGAACCUGCGGAAGGAUCAUUAAAGAGAUAGGUCGUUCAUGGCCCGACCUCCCAACCCCUUCAUCGUUGUUAUAAUCUUAUCCAUUGCUUGCCUUUCGGUCGGGUAUGCCGGUCCUCGGUCUCCGAGCGCACUAACCCUCGGGUUGGUGAGCGCCCGCCAGAGUCCAACCAAAACUCUUGUAUUAAAACCAGUCGUCUGAGUAUAAAAUUUUUAAUUAAAUUAAAA
rnacentral:misc_RNA from 1 species